CACCCGCGGUAAUACAGAGGGUGCAAGCGUUAAUCUCAAUUACUGGGCGUAAAGCGCACGCAGGCGGUCUGUCAAGUCGGAUGUGAAAUCCCCGGGCUCAACCUGGGAACUGCAUUCGAAACUGGCAGGCUAGAGUCUUGUAGAGGGGGGUAGAAUUCCAGGUGUAGCGGUGAAAUGCGUAGAGAUCUGGAGGAAUACCGGUGGCGAAGGCGGCCCCCUGGACAAAGACUGACGCUCAGGUGCGAAAGCGUGGGGAGCAAACAGGAUUAGAUACCCUGGUAGUCCACGCCGUAAACGAUGUCGACUUGGAGGUUGUUCCCUUGAGGAGUGGCUUCCGGAGCUAACGCGUUAAGUCGACCGCCUGGGGAGUACGGCCGCAAGGUUAAAACUCAAAUGAAUUGACGGGGGCCCGCACAAGCGGUGGAGCAUGUGGUUUAAUUCGAUGCAACGCGAAGAACCUUACCUACUCUUGACAUCCAGAGAACUUAGCAGAGAUGCUUUGGUGCCUUCGGGA
rnacentral:rRNA from 1 species